rnacentral:rRNA from 1 species
GAUGAACGCUGGCGGCGUGCUUAACACAUGCAAGUCGAACGGAAAGGCCCAAGCUUGCUUGGGUGCUCGAGUGGCGAACGGGUGAGUAACACGGGGGUGAUCUGCCCUGCACUUUGGGAUAAGCCUGGGAAACUGGGUCUAAUACCGGAUAGGACCAUCGUUUAGUGUCGGUGGUGGAAAGUUUUUCGGUGUGGGAUGAGCUCGCGGCCUAUCAGCUUGUUGGUGGGGUAAUGGCCUACCAAGGCGUCGACGGGUAGCCGGCCUGAGAGGGUGUACGGCCACAUUGGGACUGAGAUACGGCCCAGACUCCGACGGGAGGCAGCAGUGGGGAAUAUUGCACAAUGGGCGCAAGCCUGAUGCAGCGACGCCGCGUGGGGGAUGACGGACUUCGGGUUGUAAACUCCUUUCGCCAAGGACGAAGCGUUUUGUGACGGUACUUGGAGAAGAAGCACCGGCUAACUACGUG